GAUGAACGCUGGCGGCGUGCCUAAUACAUGCAAGUCGAGCGAACAGAUAAGGAGCUUGCUCCCUUGACGUUAGCGGCGGACGGGUGAGUAAGACGUGCGUAACCUACCUCUAAGACUGGGAUAACUCCGGGAAACCGGUGCCAAUGCAGGAUAACAUGUUGAACGGCAUGGUUCUACAGUUAAUGGCGGCUUUGCUGUCACUUAUAGAUGGACCCGCGCCGUAUUAGCUAGUUGGUGAGGUAACGGCUCACCAAGGCAACGAUACGUAGCUGACCUGAGAGGGUGAUCGGCCACACUGGAACUGAGACACGGUCCAGACUCCUACGGGAGGCAGCAGUGGGGAAUCUUGCGCAAUGGGCGAAAGCCUGACGGAGCAACGCCGCGUGAGUGAUGAAGGUCUUCGGGUCGUAAAGCUCUGUUGUUGGGGAAGAAAAGAUGCGGAAGAAACUGUGGGCGUCUUGACGGUACCUAAUCAGAAAGCAACGGCUAACUACGUG
rnacentral:rRNA from 1 species